rnacentral:rRNA from 1 species
CGUGUAGGCGGUAAUGUAAGUCAGACGUGAAAUCCUUUGGCUCAACUGAAGAACUGCGUCUGAAACUGCAUGACUAGAGUGCAGAAGAGGGAAACGGAAUUCCAGGCGUAGAGGUGAAAUUCGUAGAUAUCUGGAGGAACACCGGUGGCGAAGGCGGUUUCCUGGUCUGACACUGACGCUGAGGCGCGAAAGCGUGGGGAGCAAACAGGAUUAGAUACCCUGGUAGUCCACGCCGUAAACGGUGGGUACUGGGUGUGGGAGGUGUAAUGCCUUCUGUGCCGAAGCUAACGCGUUAAGUACCCCGCCUGGGGAGUACGGCCGCAAGGUUGAA